rnacentral:rRNA from 1 species
CAGAUGUAGUUUGCCCUUAUCGGAUUGGGUGGGCUGCUGAGCGGUUCCAGGAAAUAGCCCCACACCAGACCGUACCCUAAACCGACACAGGUGGACUGGUAGAGUAUACCAAGGCGCUUGAGAGAACCACGUUAAAGGAACUCGGCAAAAUGCCUCCGUAAGUUCGCGAGAAGGAGGCCCCAUAUGUACGCAAGUAUGUGUGGGGGGCACAAACUAGGGGGUGGCGACUGUUUACUUAAAACACAGGGCUGUGCGAAGCCGUAAGGCGACGUAUACAGUCUGACGCCUGCCCGGUGCUGGAAGAUUAAGAGGAGGGGUGCAAGCUCUGAAUUGAAGUCCCAGUAAACGGCGGCCGUAACGAUAACGGUCCUAAGGUAGCGAAAUUCCUUGUCGGGUAAGUUCCGACCUGCACGAAUGGCGUAACGAUCUCCCCGCUGUCUCUAACGUGGACUCAGCGAAAUUGAACUGUGUGUCAAGAUGCACACUACCCGCGGUUAGACGGAAAGACCCCAUGAACCUUUACUCCAGCUUUGCACUGGUAUCAGGAUUGUGAUGUGCAGGAUAGGUGGUAGGCAUUGAAGCGGGGACGCCAGUCUUCGUGGAGCCUCCCUUGAGAUACCACCCUUCGCCAUCUUGAUAUCUAACCGCGGCCCGUUAUCCGGGUCCGGGACCCUGCAUGGUGGGGAGUUUGACUGGGGCGGUCGCCUCCCAAACAGUAACGGAGGCGCGCGAUGGUUGGCUCAGACCGGUCGGAAAUCGGUCGUUGAGUGCAAUGGCAGAAGCCAGCCUGACUGCAAGACUGACAAGUCGAGCAGAGACGAAAGUCGGUCAUAGUGAUCCGGUGGUCCCAAGUGGGAGGGCCAUCGCUCAACGGAUAAAAGGUACUCUGGGGAUAACAGGCUGAUGAUGGCCAAGAGUCCAUAUCGACGGCAUCGUUUGGCACCUCGAUGUCGGCUCAUCUCAUCCUGGGGCUGGAGCAGGUCCCAAGGGUAUGGCUGUUCGCCAUUUAAAGAGGUACGUGAGCUGGGUUUAGAACGUCGUGAGACAGUUCGGUCCCUAUCUGCCGUGGGUGCAGGAGACUUGAGAAGAGUUGACCCUAGUACGAGAGGACCGGGUUGAACGAACCACUGGUGGACCAGUUAUCGUGCCAACGGUAGUGCUGGGUAGCUAUGUUCGGACAGGAUAACCGCUGAAGGCAUCUAAGCGGGAAGCCCCCUUCAAAACAAGGUCUCCCUUGAGGGCCGUGGAAGACGACCACGUCGAUAGGCCAGAGGUGUAAGUGCAGCAAUGCAUUCAGCUGACUGGUACUAAUUGCCC